CACAAAUAUGAAGGCGGGCUGGAACCUCUCGGGGUUACAGCCUUGCUGAAUUAUUCACCCUUGUCUUUUGCGUACUUCUUGUUUCCUUGGUGGGUUCGCCCACCACUAGGACAAACAUAAACCUUUUGUAAUUGCAAUCAGCGUCAGUAACAAAUUAAUAAUUACAACUUUCAACAACGGAUCUCUUGGUUCUGGCAUCGAUGAAGAACGCAGCGAAAUGCGAUAAGUAGUGUGAAUUGCAGAAUUCAGUGAAUCAUCGAAUCUUUGAACGCACAUUGCGCCCUUUGGUAUUCCAAAGGGCAUGCCUGUUCGAGCGUCAUUUGUACCCUCAAGCUUUGCUUGGUGUUGGGCGUCUUGUCUCUAGCUUUGCUGGAGACUCGCCUUAAAGUAAUUGGCAGCCGGCCUACUGGUUUCGGAGCGCAGCACAAGUCGCACUCUCUAUCAGCAAAGGUCUAGCAUCCAUUAAGCCUUUUUUUCAA
rnacentral:sRNA from 1 species